rnacentral:lncRNA from 1 species
AUUCUGGGGUGUUGGGGGCAAGGUCUGGAAGAUCCAAGCUGGGUAGAUUUAAAGAAAUGGAUGGGUCUGGUGUCUGGUGCUUUGAAUACUGCAUUUCCUGGGAGCAAGCCCUGCAGCAAACACUCCUAAGUCAGAGAUUUUGGUGUGCCAAACACAUUCCUCUGGAGGUACCCGUCGUCCUUGUGUCCAUCAUUGCAACAAAUUGAGACUUCCUUUGUCCAGGUGGACUAGCUCCUCCUUCCCCGCCAGCCCCACCAAUGGGAUAGCAAGUAAGCAACCCACAGUUCACGUCCAGCCCAUAAGGAAUACCUGGAGGCAGGAGGUGAGGGCACACAGGGUGAUGUCUUUUUUUGAUCUGUGCAACACAGGGAUGCUGACUGCCCAUCAGUUUUCGAAGAAAGAGGAAAUGCUCGCCGGCCAGUCCAUGCUCUGCACUCUGGGUUUUUUCCCGGUUCAGAGAGUCCCACAAAUGCAUCCUGUUACCGAAACAUGAGUCAGAUGAAUCCUGUUGUAGCCUCUUCCCCAGGUGCACAUAUAUACAGCCAGAAAUCAGGGUGGGGACUGGAACUCAAAGGAGUCUGGACUUUGCAAUCUAGAGGAGAGAUUGGGGAGCUUCCUGCAAACUCCCCAAAUACCUUGAGUACACUGGCAAGGAAGGGAUCUGGGAGGUGGAACUUGCUCCUUAGUUGCAGAGCUGGAUUAGAGUCCAAAACUCCAGUGUGGCCAAGCACCUCCCCUUUAACCCUGCUCUCCUCAAUUGUUUUCUGAGCAACGUUUCUAAACCCCUUGCCAAAGGCCUGGACUCACAGGUCAAAGAGGCUUUGCUAAAAACUGGUUGUUCAAAAACUGGGGAGGGAUGAUUCCUGGUGUGUUAAGGAAAGUAAAAUGCCACCUCCUGAAGCCCUCCCUGAUGACCCC